AGUUUGAUUAGCUCCAGAUUGAACGCUGGCGGGAUGCUUUACACGCCCACAAGUCGAACGGCAGCACGGACUUCGGUCUGGUGGCGAGUGGCGAACGGGUGAGUAAUGUAUCGGAACGUGCCUAGUAGCGGGGGAUAACUACGCGAAAGCGUAGCUAAUACUGCACAUACGCCCUUCGGGGAAAGCGGGGGACCUUCGGGCCUCGCACUAUUAGAGCGGCCGAUAUCGGAUUGGCUAGUUGGUGGGGGUAACGGCUCACCAAGGCGUGAUCCGUAGCUGGUUUGAGAGGACGACCAGCCACACUGGGACUGAGACACGGACAGACUCCUACGGGAGGCAACAGUGAAAUUUUGGACAAUGGGGAAACCUGAUCCAGCCAUCCCGCGUGUGCGAUGAAGGCCUUCGAGUUGUAAAGCACUUUUGGCAGGAAAGAAACGGCACGGGAUAAUACCCCGUGCAACUGACUGACUCACCUGCAGAAUAAGCACCGGUAACUACGUGCCAGCCGC
rnacentral:misc_RNA from 1 species